AUGGGCGAAAGCCUGAUGCAGCGACGCCGCGUGGGGGAUGACGGUCUUCGGAUUGUAAACCCCUUUCAGUAGGGACGAAGCGCAAGUGACGGUACCUGCAGAAGAAGCACCGGCUAACUACGUGCCAGCAGCCGCGGUAAUACGUAGGGUGCGAGCGUUGUCCGGAAUUACUGGGCGUAAAGAGCUCGUAGGCGGUUUGUCACGUCGUCUGUGAAAUCCCUCGGCUUAACCGGGGGCGUGCAGGCGAUACGGGCAGACUUGAGUACUACAGGGGAGACUGGAAUUCCUGGUGUAGCGGUGAAAUGCGCAGAUAUCAGGAGGAACACCGGUGGCGAAGGCGGGUCUCUGGGUAGUAACUGACGCUGAGGAGCGAAAGCAUGGGUAGCGAACAGGAUUAGAUACCCUGGUAGUCCAUGCCGUAAACGGUGGGCGCUAGGUGUGGGGUCCUUCCACGGACUCCGUGCCGUACCUAACGCAUUAAGCGCCCCGCCUGGG
rnacentral:rRNA from 1 species